GGGCGGGCGAUCGGAGGCGUGUCGUGUCACCAGAGACCUUGGCCCGGUGCGAAACGUGUGCGCACAGUUAGCUCAAGAAUUGGAAGAUAAGACUGGCUUGGCCAUAAGGAAGAGCUCAGUGUGUUACGGACAUAUAGGACCAUAAGAUACAAAAGGGGGCAUAGCUUGUGCAGAGAAGCAGCCCAUGAGGUGGGAAGAUGAAAUAUUGUUUACAAAUGUUGAUUAUAUAUGGACAGUAACAAUGAAAUAUUGUAUGGUCAUCUUUUACUGAAGCUGUUAUUUAUAAUUUUAUAUUUGUACCUACCUGGGUGAAAAAUCCUGAUAUAUAAUUGUAUUGUGGAUGUUUUGUUCUCUUUCUCUGUCUCUUUAUACUUUUUUAUUUCCUCCAUUUUAUGUUUUCUUUUUCUCUUCUGCUUAAAUAAACAACUAAAUGAAUGAAUAAAUGAAUGAAUAAAUGAAU